CAGUAGGGUCGAGAUUGUAGUUGAAGAUUUGAAGUUUAUCUUAAAAGUCAGACUAAAUGGAAAAGGAGAUUUCGGAAGUCCAGGAAAGUAGGGCGACCCAGAGAUGGAGGAAGCACGAUGGGAAAGAACGUGCCACCGCAGCAAUAAACAGAAAUUGGACAAGUGUUGGAAUCUGCUGCACGUCAUGCGCUUGAAAGCAGAAAAAGAUCCUUGCAUACUUUUUCUUCUUCCUCCAAAUGCAUAAUGUUUCUACUUUUAGGGUUUCAGACAUAUUCAAAUGAGUUGCAACUUAAAGUGUUGUCGGUAAUGGUUCUAUAAUUCACAGGUAAGCAUGGGAUUCUUGUAUAACUCAAGCGCCUCGAUCAUGACAUCAAAUUCCUUCAGGUUCUUUCUUUCUUUCUUAUAAUUUUGAUUUGCUUACUAAUAAAGUGGAAUCUAAUUUUGUUGCAAGCAAACUUCUUUGCAAAUUCUGAAUUGUCUGUUAUCCAUCAGAAUUUUUUGCCAAGUUUAUUGCUAUCCAUUUUUCUUUUAAAUUCAUUUCCUGUGUUUUCUUAAACUAUGCAGAAAAAAUUGAAAGAGCUUGAGAAAGCAGAUAUUGUGUAUCAUUUUAUUAAUAUCUCUGUCUCUCUUUUUUUUUUUUGUUCUUGACCAUUUUCUUUAUCUUCCCUUAGGAGGAACAACGUAUAGAACAUCUUUUCAAACACUUGCAGGAUUUUUCAGACAAUACGUCACAGCAUUUUGAUAUUGUUUUUUAUUUAUUUAAUUAAUUUUGUUCAUUGCAAGAGAUUCGUUAACUCUUUCAAACCUCUAUAUUUAGGAGGAUAGGUGGGAACAUGAUAACUACUUCAUCCAUUCUAAUAAAUUUCUUUCAUCAAAUCUAUAAUUGUCCUUUAUUUAUAUAUUUGGUCAUUUAUUUGUGUUUUGGCUUCUAAAGGUUCAAGUUGGAGGAUAACCUUUGUACAAAGUUGACAAUAAAUU